UGAACGUAACGCACGUAGACGGGGUGGAAAUAUGAUGUAGUUAGAUAAUCACUUUCAUUUUAAUUAAUAGGUCUUUUUUUUAAAGGAUCUUCGAAACAUUUGGGAAAUCCAUUCAGACUCGCUCGUCUGCUGACUGUCUGCGCACGUCUCUGAUUGUUUACGUUGAUCUGGAUCAGGAAACAUCCCGCUUCCUCAACUAUAAGCAAUCGCCAUGGAGGUAUGCAAUGUUCCAGCAGGCUGUCAAAUGUCCUGCUCGUUUUAUGGGUGCAAGAGGACCUACAAUAGUCCAGAAGCACUGAAUAGUCAUCUUCAAGACCAUCAGAAAAACACUGCCCAGUCUCUUCCAGGAAAAACUUUCCUAUGCUCUCAUAUAGGAUGUGAUGGUUCAUUCAACAACAUGCAGCAGCUGAUGGAACAUAUGAGGCACCACCACAAGCCAAAUUAUUUUUUCCUGUGCGAGAGCUGCAGGGCCAAACUGCGUUCUUACCGCACCCUUCUCAAACACCUGCAGACCUGUGCUAAAGUUGCUAAAAACAAGGCUGCAAAGAUCGAGACUGGAGUGGCACCUGACGCCGAUCCCGCCAAUGCCCCUCCCACAUCCGGAGACAUGGAAUCAUCUGGACCCCCCUUAGCCCAAAAUGCGCCUGAGGAGAUGGAGUCUAUGCCAUCUAUGCCCACUUUGCCCGCAAAUCCAACACCGGCAAACAUGCCAGUAACCCAGCGCCCCCCAGAAAACAAUGCAUUUGCUAACCUCACACCUGUAGGGCCUGCAACUAUGCCCCUUGCCACUCUAAAUCCUGCCUUAACCCAAAAUCUUCCUGGCCAGCCAGAAUCUCCCUACAGCUCCUUUCCACCCACUCUGUCUCCUGUUAACCAAGCCUUCCAGGCAGAUCCGGGCCUACAGCAGCAGCAGAGGUCUCCUAGGUCCGGUCCUCCCAGUCUGCCCGCUUCACCGCCCCUGCCGUCACCGCCAGGAUCAAACGCAGUCUGGAGGAAGAACCAAGACCCGCCCGGGCCCCUUUUGCACAGAUGGAACUCUCCGAGCAGUCAGAGUUUAAAUAGAGAUGAAGUCCAGGUCAGUCCUUCAACUGCCGUAUCCUGUGGGAGCACACAAGAGGUCGGUACUGUUGUCUACAGUGCGGCCACUGCACCCCAGACCGGGGGGAGAUGACCGCUCACAUUGAGGGCCAGCACAAGAACCCGGGGGGCAAAGUGAACAAUGAUCAUGAUACAGAGAUUGGCACCGCAUCUUUACUGGCUAAGACUUCGCUGCACUCUGAGAACUCAACUUAUACACAGCUCUAACAUGAAAUGAGAUGCUAAACCUGCUGUUUGACAAAGAACUUUUGUAGUAGCGUUUUAUACAGAAACUCAGUGUUUUCAUUUUACUGACUUCAGACAUCUCUGUGGUCUCGAUUUGUCAAUAUCACUUUUAAAACACAUGAAGUUCUGCAUGCCUUAUUGCCAGUAAGCAUUUAUAAGUCAUCUAGACUAAGAACAUUUUCACACUGGCAUAUAAAUAAACAGUAAUGUUGUAAUAUUAUGUCACCUACUUUUUUGUUUGACCUUUUUACAGUAGGCAGUAUCUCCAAUAUGGAGUAUUCAUGUUAAACUUAAAUGUGUCAAUUAAAAAACAUAAAAUGAUGCCAAAUGUUCAGUCUGUUUCAGUUUAUUCAAUAAACAGUUUUGUGUUUUGUUUCA